rnacentral:rRNA from 1 species
UGGGGAAUAUUGCACAAUGGGCGCAAGCCUGAUGCAGCCAUGCCGCGUGUAUGAAGAAGGCCUUCGGGUUGUAAAGUACUUUCAGCGGGGAGGAAGGGAGUAAAGUUAAUACCUUUGCUCAUUGACGUUACCCGCAGAAGAAGCACCGGCUAACUCCGUGCCAGCAGCCGCGGUAAUACGGAGGUUGCAAGCGUUAAUCGGAAUUACUGGGCGUAAAGCGCCCGCAGGCGGUUUGUUAAGUCAGAUGUGAAAUCCCCGGGCUCAACCUUGGAACUGCAUCUGAUACUGGCAAGCUUGAGUCUCGUAGAGGGGGGUAGAAUUCCAGGUGUAGCGGUGAAAUGCGUAGAGAUCUGGAGGAAUACCGGUUGCGAAGGCGGCCCCCUGGACGAAGACUGACGCUCAGGUGCGAAAGCGUGGGGAGCAAACAGG